UCAAUAUUUAUCAGUAUAAUAUGCAAAUCAUAUAAAAAUUAUGAUGCUAUAAACAUGAUAAAACUUCUCAUGGUUAAUGAAUAACAUUUAUUUAUAUUUGUAGUCCCAGAUUGAGAAAGACACAUGUUUACCACAGAUGACUCACAUAUCAAGAGCAGAAAGAAAGAAAACAGAUGAACGAAAGAGAAAAGACUAGAAUGACCCUGAAUGUAGAAAAAAACAGGGAACCUCUGGGAAAAUCAGAAAAAGUGAUGAGAGCCUUAUGGCUAUGUUAAAAGAACAGCAAAAAGAGUUUUUAUCAAAUGAAUCAAAGAGAUGGGAGGAAGAAAAGGCUCGAGAGGAGAAAAUGAGAAAAGAGGACAAGGAACAUGAGCUGAAUCUAUUUUCUAUGUUUGCUACAAUUCUUAAAGGACAGCCAUCAUCCCAAAUUACAUCAUGUCAUGCAUCAUCAGUAUCGUCAUUCCCUUCUUCAUCAUUCCAGGAUUCAACAUUCCAGGCUUCACCAUUACAUUCUACAUCAACAUCAUCAACAUAACACAGACCAACCUCAA